UACGUAGGGUGCGAGCGUUGUCCGGAAUUAUUGGGCGUAAAGAGCUUGUAGGCGGUUUGUCGCGUCUGCUGUGAAAAUCCGGGGCUCAACCCCGGACUUGCAGUGGGUACGGGCAGACUAGAGUGUGGUAGGGGAGACUGAAGUUCCAGGUGAUAGCGGUGAAAUGCGUAGAUAUCUGGAGGAACACCGGUGGCGAAGGCGGCAUUCUGGACCAUUACUGACGGCUGAGGAGCGAAAGCCAGGGGAGCAAAGCGGG
rnacentral:rRNA from 1 species